rnacentral:rRNA from 1 species
UACGGGCCAAAGAGGGGGACCUUCGGGCCUCUCGCGUCAGGAUAUGCCUAGGUGGGAUUAGCUAGUUGGUGAGGUAAGGGCUCACCAAGGCGACGAUCCCUAGCUGGUCUGAGAGGAUGAUCAGCCACACUGGAACUGAGACACGGUCCAGACUCCUACGGGAGGCAGCAGUGGGGAAUAUUGCACAAUGGGCGCAAGCCUGAUGCAGCCAUGCCGCGUGUGUGAAGAAGGCCUUCGGGUUGUAAAGCACUUUCAGUCGUGAGGAAGGUAGUGUAGUUAAUAGCUGCAUUAUUUGACGUUAGCGACAGAAGAAGCACCGGCUAACUCCGUGCCAGCAGCCGCGGUAAUACGGAGGGUGCGAGCGUUAAUCGGAAUUACUGGGCGUAAAGCGCAUGCAGGUGGUUUGUUAAGUCAGAUGUGAAAGCCCGGGGCUCAACCUCGGAAUUGCAUUUGAAACUGGCAGACUAGAGUACUGUAGAGGGGGGUAGAAUUUCAGGUGUAGCGGUGAAAUGCGUAGAGAUCUGAAGGAAUACCGGUGGCGAAGGCGGCCCCCUGGACAG